CGGUUCGGACCCGCUGUAGAGC
rnacentral:miRNA from 1 species